UACGUAGGGGGCAAGCGUUGUCCGGAUUCAUUGGGCGUAAAGAGCUCGUAGGCGGUGUGUCACGUCGGCCGUGAAAACCUGCAGCUUAACUGUGGGCGUGCGGUCGAUACGGGCAUCACUGGAGUUCGGCAGGGGAGACUGGAAUUCCUGGUGUAGCGGUGAAAUGCGCAGAUAUCAGGAGGAACACCGGUGGCGAAGGCGGGUCUCUGGGCCAUAACUGACGCUGAGAAGCGAAAGCAUGGGGAGCGAACAGG
rnacentral:rRNA from 1 species